UUGAAACCUGGGGGGUGAUAACACCUAGAUGUGUUGCCUAGGGUCAUUUGUCCAGUUAUUUCAUUGCCGCUGAGUAGAUUUCUUGGCCUGAAGAGGAUGGCACCUAGGAAGAGAUUCUUGGCUUCUCCAGUAUUGUUGCCUUGGUAGUUCCUGGACACCAAUUUCAUCUCCACUGUGCUGUAACAACUGAUAAAAGCUCCGAGUCUCUGCUUUCUGCUUGUGCUGGAGUGUUGCUUAAAGAUACAACAAAUGUGUCAAGGCAAAAGGCAAGGAAAAAUGUUGAACUUACCUGUGUUUUCUUUUUCUCUGAGAUCCUGGCCCUCAAGUCAUGUCUGACUUGGUUGUUGUUUAUUAUCUUUCAACAAUUCAUUUUGUAUUUUGUCCAGCUUUUAUAGUUGUUCUCAAAAGCAUGGUUGGAUUGAUAGAAGCUACCCCAUCAGAGCCAGAAAUGAACAUAUUAACAAUUUUGAGAUAGAAGUUCUAUUUUUUUCUUUGGUCUCAUUUAACCUACUCAGAUAAUGAAAUCUAUGUUAACUAGGUCAUAGUACUGAAAUUAAAAUGAGAAAAACUGGGUUUCAUUCCAGAAUCAAAAAUAAAGUGUUUUGUGAUGA